UGCUAAGCUAGAAAAGACAAAUAAUUAAACCAUUAAAUCGAUAAUUAAUCUAAAAAAUUCUUGAAUAAUCACAAUCAUAAGACAAUAUCGACAAAUAUCCUAAAAAAAAUAAUUUUUCUAAAUCACAUUCAUUCUUUGAGUCACUACGGCAAAUAGCUAUUCUAGCAAAUGUGGCUAAUGGAUUUCGAUUCCACUCAUGCCAAACCCUAUAGCUAGCCAUAGAAAUCUGAUCAAUCCCUUUUUAAAGCUAUUGUAUUAAGAUGAGAUAAGAACAAAACAACCUUUUGUAGAUGCAUCUGAGCUUUGAUUCCUUAAAAGAAUUUGAAGUUAAAACACAAAAAAAAUGCGUACUAGACCUCAGCGGAAACUCUACCACACGACCUCGAACUCGGCUACAACGGACACCUCGAAUCGAUUCAUUGACUCUGAACUGGGAUGCUCGAGUUCAAAACGAAAUCAAGCUGCUUGCCUCCCUGAAUUCCGAUUGAGGAUGAACUGAAGCUUUGUGUAAGAAGUAGUUCCGAAAUUCAGAGAAUAAAAUGGUAACUGAUAGGUUAUGGGGGUUAAUUUCGCCGGCUUUAGUUGAAUCUCGUCGGCGAUGGAGAUGCGACCAGACAAAUGAGGGAGACAGAGGAAUUUGAAGAUGAAGGAGGCAGCUAUGUUUUAUUUUUCCGCCUCGUGCCGGUGCGCAUGUUUGUGAUGGAGCAGAAAGGGCCGGUUUAGAUGGGGAAGGUCGUGAGUGAGGUGGUUUCUGGCGUGAUCGAAGAAGGGGGUGGUGUGAAUGAGAUGAGUUUCAAGGGGGUAAGGUCUUGUUAAAAGCUGCGCCCGUCCAUCCUUUUUUAGUCACCUCCUCUUUUUCAUAUAUCUAUAGGUCGAGGUUUUUUGUAAUAAAGAUAAGGGUAAAGGGAAUGGGCUUGAGUUGUG
rnacentral:lncRNA from 1 species